CUUUCAUCAAGAAGUUUCAAUGAAAUAAGACAGGCAGCAGCUCUGCUUCUUGAGGAUCAGAAGUGGAUAACCAUUCUUCACGACGAGAUGAGUAUCAAGUCAGAUUUGGUCUUUGACAGAGAGACUGGUAAUGUUGUUGGUUUUAUUAACAGUGCUAAUGAAUGUGGAAGUCUUUCACAGAAUGUUGCUACACAUUGUCUGGUUUUGAUGGUUAUUGGGGUGAAUAGCAAUUUAAAGUAUAGUAUUGGAUGGUUUCCUACAAAAUCAACCACAUCUUCUGAUUUGUAUCCAAUAUUUUGGGAAGCUGUUGCUCAUCUUGACACUUACUGCAAUCUGAAGGUUAUAGCUAGUACAUCUGAUAAGGCAUCUUCUAAUAUGAAAUUUAUUGCUCUUCAUGGAGAGAGUGAUAUGGUAUAUAAAACAACUAAUCCAUUUUCUCCAGAUAGAGAGAUAUUUUUUCUCUCAGAUGCUCCACAUCUUCUGAAGACUCUAAUGAAUAAUCUAUCAGCUUCAGGAAGAAAUCAAAACACAAGAUUGUUAUGG